GGGGGACACCGCGCUGGGAGGGUCCCCGAGCCCCCCGAGCCCCCAGGAGCGGCCGAGUCCUUCGAGCUGGAGGAGGUGCCGAGCAAGGAGGAGGAGGAUGACGGUGAUGAUGAUGACAAGGAUGACGAUGACGAUGAUGAGGAUGAUGAUGAUCCCGAGGAAGCCACCCGGUCCCCCCAUCCCUUUAUCAGGAGCUCCCUGCUCCACGGGCGCUCGGGCAGCAGCGGCUUCGGGGAGGAGCCGCUCCCGACUCUGUGACCCGAGGCCACCUCAGGAGGACGUGUGACCUCGCCCGGGCGUCCCACGGACGUUUAGGACACGCGUGUGACACGUGUGCGUGUGCGGUGUGCGUGUGUGUGCACGUGUGGGUGUUUGGCACAGGAAAACCUCCGGAUUCGGGAUUUUGCCCCAUUUUUUGUCCCUCCCUCGUCCCCCAGCCCUGUGGCUCGGGGCCUGCAGUGGGGACAUGUCCCCAACCCUCGGGGAUGUGUCCCGAACCCUCAGGGACAUGUCCCCAACCCUCGGGGACGUGUCCCCAACCCUUUAGGAUGUGUCCCCAACCCUCGGGGACGUGUCCCCAACCCUCGGGGACGUGUCCCCAACCCUUUGGGAUGUGUCCCCAACCCUCGGGGACGUGUCCCCAGUCCUUUGGGACAUGUCCCCAGCCCUUUGGGAUGUGUCCCCAACCCUCGGGGAUGUGUCCCCAACCCUCGGGGAUGUGUCCCCAGUCCUUUGGGAUGUGUCCCCAACCCUCGGGGACGUGUCCCCAACCCUCGGGGACAUCACUUGCACUUUGGUUGGUUGCACUAGAGGGGAGUGGGGACCCAAUAAAGUCCCCCAAGGGA